CGGCAACCGUUUAGUUGUGGUUUUCUUUUUGCUCUUGUUAGCUAGACUGCGUGUGACCCUUGAUUUAGUCAAGGCGUGUGGUACUGGCAUAUGUUUGCUCUCUCUGUCGGUGCCUGUUUGUUUCUUGUCCCGCUGGUUGGGUUGGUUGGUUGGUCGUGCUCGGUGGUGGAUUCUGUCAGUGUGGUGCUUGUUGUGUCCGUGUGCAUGUCCGGUGGCAUAGAUGUGUUUGGGUUCGUCCUGCAGUUGAUUGCUGUCCGUGGUGUGCUCGUGUGCUCGUUUGGAAUAGAAGCGGAAUGCGGCUGCUUUUUGUGAUGCAGGAUCGGGG
rnacentral:lncRNA from 1 species